rnacentral:piRNA from 1 species
UGAAUUUGAAAUACAAAAAUU